rnacentral:rRNA from 1 species
AACGAACGCUGGCGGCAUGCCUAAUACAUGCAAGUCGAACGAGAUCUUCGGAUCUAGUGGCGCACGGGUGCGUAACGCGUGGGAAUCUGCCCUUGGGUUCGGAAUAACUUCUGGAAACGGAAGCUAAUACCGGAUGAUGACGUAAGUCCAAAGAUUUAUCGCCCAAGGAUGAGCCCGCGUAGGAUUAGCUAGUUGGUGGGGUAAAGGCCCACCAAGGCGACGAUCCUUAGCUGGUCUGAGAGGAUGAUCAGCCACACUGGGACUGAGACACGGCCCAGACUCCUACGGGAGGCAGCAGUAGGGAAUAUUGGACAAUGGGCGAAAGCCUGAUCCAGCAAUGCCGCGUGAGUGAUGAAGGCCUUAGGGUUGUAAAGCUCUUUUACCCGGGAUGAUAAUGACAGUA